rnacentral:rRNA from 1 species
UUCGUAGGGUGCGAGCGUUGUCCGGAAUUAUUGGGCGUAAAGAGCUUGUAGGUGGUUUGUCGCGUCUGCUGUGAAAAUCCGAGGCUCAACCUCGGACCUGCAGUGGGUACGGGCAGACUAGAGUGUGGUAGGGGAGACUGGAAUUCCUGGUGUAGCGGUGGAAUGCGCAGAUAUCAGGAGGAACACCAAUAGCGAAGGCAGCUCGCUGGGACGUUACUGACACUGAGGCGCGAAAGCGUGGGGAGCGAACAGG